CCUUGUAAGUUUUUCCCGUCUCGCUGGAGCUCUAUUUUUCAGAACAUCCUUUCUGCAACCAAUGAUGAAAGCUUGCAAGGUAUGUAUUCUUUGAUGCUAUGUUUUAUGGAUAUCAAGCCUAUGCAAGCCUCUAGAUAGUAGCAGUUUUAAAAUUUUAUCGAAUUUGACAGUGCAGCGGGAAAUAAUACCAAUCAGGAACAACAACCAAACGGAGGGUUGGCUCUCGCGUCGCUCCCGCGAGCGACCGAGGGUCCCUGGCGGCGCCGCCCCUUCGACCCCCUCCACACCCCUCCCCCUCCCUCGCCGCCGCCUGAGGGCGUCGCCGGGCAAAGCCCGCGCGGCGCAGGCGGCGGCGGGGCCCUUCUUCUCCCUCGCUCGGUGGUGGAGGCGCGGGCCUCGGCGGCUGGUGAGGGCGCCGCGCGGUGCGGUGGGCGCGGCGGCGCGGUCCUUCGACGACGGCGUGGAGACAUCGGCGGCUGGGCGCGCUCGCGACGGCGGCAGUUCUCCGAAGCGGCCAUGGUGGCGGGAGGCGCGAGCUCCGGCCUGGGCGGGCGGAGGAAGAUGAGGGCGACGCGGGUAGGUGCCUGGCGCGGCGUGCGGUGGCGCGGCGCCCGUCCGGCGUGAAGCGGUGGAGUUCCGGCGUGGUGGGGUGCUGCGGCCUAGAGGGAUCUGGCCGCCUCGAGUCCGGAUCGGGGCAGGGGCCCCGGGCCCGUUUCGAGCCCAUCUUCGCCCAGAUCUGCAGAUCUCCGGCAGCCAUGGGGGCUGCAGGUGGUGAUCCCCGGUUGCGGUGUCGGGGGCGAUGGCCGGCCUGCCCCUCGUUUGGCGUCCGACGGCCUCGAUGCGACGCUCCUCCUCUUUUUUCCUGUCCGCCCGGUGUCGAGUUGGGAAGCCGGGGCGGCGGCCCUGGAAGGUGGGAGUCAUGUUGGUUGGCGGGCGAGCCAAUGACUCUGGUGCUGGCCGGUGACCACGGCCGUGAGGGCGGCGUGGUGGUCGGCGAGUUGAGUGUUGUGGGGUGUAGAGGAUGGUGAUGGUGCCAAAGGGAAACCUUUGCCCCUCGGGCCACGGCGGCGGCGUCCGCGGACGGCGUUCCCUUGUUGAAGGCGCCGUGAGGCUAAUCUCCGUCCCUCUACUUCGUCCGGGUGAAAACCCAAGAUCCUUGGAUCGGGCGGUGGCGGCACUCCGGUGUCGUGCUCUUCUUGAAGACACCGUCUUGGAGUCCACAGCGCGAGACUCACCGAUGGUUGUGACGGAGGUGGUUCUUCGGCGAUCCUCGGCAAGGCUUGCUCCGUGCCCUUCCCUUGUCGAGCUUCCUUGGCGCUGCUGUUCGGUUUGUGAGCAACUUGGGUCGGUCCCCGGUGGUGGUCGGCUUCCGGUGGCGCUUCUGCGACGAAGGAGUGUUGUUGAGGCGUGCGUGAAAAUGGCUCGCUCUUGGGUGAGCUCCGGCCCGACACUGUAGACUCCGGCUCUUCUUCGAGUCUUCGUAGGCGCUUUGGCUGAGCUUGUUGGUCGCGCUUCCGGCUGUAGCUUCUUCGGUAGUUCGUGUGGGUGUGUGGUGUCGUUUUGUAAGCUGGGUUCAGCACUGUGUAUCGUACUCGCCGUUGUUGGCUUUGUUAAUUCAAAGUCGGGCACUUCAGUGCCUUUUAUCUAAAAAAUAAUACCAAUCAGCAGCAGAUGGUGAUAAGUCACUACUAACCCUGUUGUUCCCAGGUGAACACAGCAGGAACAUCUAUUGCAUUGGCAGAAGAAUCACCGGAUGUUGGUACGUUAGUGUUUGCUGGCUAAAGAACAUCUAUUGAAUUCCCUAGCAGGAAAGUUCUAGGCCCAUCACUUUGUACAAAAAAUUAAUGCAAUACAUGUCUAGAUGAUCAUGUUCUUUUUCUCAAACUCUCAGUUAACGUUUGCUGGCUUUAAUUUAGAUAUGCAAAUGAGGGCAACUUUUCUUGUUUAGUACCCUGUUUCCGAGGGAUGAGGCGCUGUUGGCUAUUUGCUGGUGGCGAAGAGUGCGCAAUCGUCGCGACUCGCAGGUGCUGGAUCAAUGGCGCUUGACAACAGCGAGGUGUAGAUGGUGACAUGCACAUCAGAGUCGAGUAGUGUUGACGCGAGGCGGCAGGAAGUACGGGCGAGUCAGUACUAUGAGUCACUUCUGCUAGAAGCCAAAGCGAAGAAUGAGCGAGAAGUUCUACUGGUACUGCGAAAGAUGUGGGCAUUAAACUCCAAUAGUUACAGACAAAGAUUGAUAGUUGACUAAACUUCCAUCAUUAUCUGAGAAAGUUGUAUAGUUAUAUAGAUCAAAGGGGGCUAUGUACUAUAAAUACACUAUUAGAGGUAGGGAAAAGGCUGAAUUCGCCGGAUGAGCGUAGAUGAUAACAAAUUUUGGAAUUUAUUCCGAUGAAUGGUGACAACAUCAGUACCUCGUGAUCUUCUGAUGCCUAGUUAUCAAAAGGAUUGAACGAUUUAACGCCUUUUUUUUAUCUAUCUUGCUAAAUUUAUUCUCUUAUCA